AACGAACGCUGGCGGCAGGCCUAACACAUGCAAGUCGAACGGACCCUUCGGGGUCAGUGGCAGACGGGUGAGUAACGCGUGGGAAUCUACCCGGUUCUUCGGAAUAACCCAGGGAAACUUGGGCUAAUACCGGAUACGCCCUUAGGGGGAAAGAUUUAUCGGAAUUGGAUGAGCCCGCGUCGGAUUAGCUAGUUGGUGGGUAAUGGCCUACCAAGGCGACGAUCCGUAGCUGGUCUGAGAGGAUGAUCAGCCACACUGGGACUGAGACACGGCCCAG
rnacentral:rRNA from 1 species